GAUGAAGAACGUAGCGAAACGCGAUAAGUAAUGUGAAUUGCAGAAUCCAGUGAAUCAUCGAAUCUUUGAACGCACAUUGCGCCCGUCAGUAUUCUGGCGGGCAUGCCUGUUCGAGCGUCAUUACGCCCCUCAAGUCCCCUGUGGACUUGGUGUUGGGGAUCGGCGAGGCUGGUUUUCCAGCACAGCCGUCCCUUAAAUUAAUUGGCGGUCUCGCCGUGGCCCUCCUCUGCGCAGUAGUAAAACACUCGCAACAGGAGCCCGGCGCGGUCCACUGCCGUAAAACCCCCCAACUUUUUAUAGUUGACCUCGAAUCAGGUAGGACUACCCGCUGAACUUAAGCAUAUCAAUAAGCGGAGGA
rnacentral:misc_RNA from 1 species